rnacentral:pre_miRNA from 11 species
ACCUUUUUGAUUCUUUGCAUGCAUCCAGGUUGAGGUAGUAGGUUGUAUGGUUUAGAAUUACACCAAGGGAGAUAACUGUACAACCUCCUAGCUUUCCUUGGGUCUUGCACAAAGCAGCGGUUGUGGU